rnacentral:rRNA from 1 species
AUGGAUCUUGGUGAAACCGUAGGAAAUUUUUUAUUUUUUGCAACGUUCAUGGGGACGACGAAGACGGCGGAGGCCCGGACGUGCCAGUCGCAGAGCCACAAGUUCAAGGGCGCCUGCUUCAGCGACACCAACUGCGACAGCGUGUGCCGCACCGAGAACUUCCCCCGCGGGCAGUGCAACCAGCACCACGUCGAGCGCAAGUGCUACUGCGAGCGGGACUGCUGA